GAGCAUGACGUUGGUCCUGGUAACCAUUGUGAGCAUGUGACUCACUUAGGAUGCUAGGCACGGAGAAUCGUGAGCCACAGGGCAGGAGCCAGCGUCCCUGGGCACUGGUGGCAAGAGGGAAGGUGGGAAGUGACCAGACUCCCAGCGUCCUCUGCAGAGGGGCAGCGGGAGGUGCCAGGGGACUGCCCUCCCAUGCGGCAAAAGCCACGAGAAAGGUCUAGGUAGGUGACACCUCAGACCAAGAAGGAUGAACCAGAGAGCUUGAAAAACCAUUUUCUGGCUGAGGCGGACCACAGGCGCUAAGCUCCCACCGUGAGCCACCCGCGGUAGUACACACUCUUGAGCUUUGUAACCAUGGAAACUUUGGUGCUUACGGUCUGCACGGCUCUGCUGAGCUUGGUCUUCUUGCCUGACAGAUUACCUCUAAGAGUUUCUAGCCAUUAUGAAUAGAGCAACAACAAACACGGAUGAGCAAGGGUCCCUGUAGUGAGAUGCAGAAUCCUUUGGACACAGGCUCAGGAGGAGUGGCAGAGCUGGAUUUUGAGAGGCCUUGGAUUCGAUGGAUAACAAAGUUCCAAGAUUAUGGCCAAAUGAGAGACAUGUGAGGUGGCUGAAUGGGAGCCAAGCCCGGCAGAGGGGCCCACAGGCUCUGGGGCGUCCAAUUUUGUCUUCGUUCUCCUGCGAUUGUUGGAGUUGUCAUUACAUGCCAAUCUUAAGACCUUCUCCGGGGACAUCUGUUGGAUGCUCUUCAUGCCUGUGUGUGGUGAUCUCAUCCCAAAGCACAAGGUUUCCGUGGCCACGGUGGGGGCUGCCCCGCAACAGCCAGUUUCUGGGGCUUUCUGAGCAUCAGCUGCCGGCACGUCCCAGUGCGCACAGGCGGGCCUCCUCUAAUCAAGAGCUUAUUGCUUGGGUGGGACCCGUUGUUGACACUCUUAUUUAAAAUGUGCGCACACUUCCAAGCCCAAGCAUUCCAGGUGAAUGACCUCAGACUGAGGGUUUGAAAGAAACCAGAGAUGUUCUGACUUUCUGUUGGUUUCCUUUUUAAUCAAGUACUUAAAAAAAAAAAAAAAAGCAAAUCAGCACUUAGGAGGUGGAGGCAGGAGGAUUAGCAGU